ACAUCUCUCUCUGCCUCAGCCUGUGGCAUGAACGUGUAAGGCAGUUAGUGUUCCUUAACAUAUGAGCACAGAGUUUCUAGAAGAUUUCACCAAAGAACCAAGAGUCUAGAGGAACAGCCCUCUCAGCUUUGGUUUAUUAGAGAACAAAACCAACCGCUUCUUCUCAGCCAGCCAUGCUCUCGGCUUCCUGCUCAGGACUUAUGAUCUUGUUGAUAUUUGGAAGGACCAAAGGAGAGUCAGUGACCCAGUCAGAGGGUCUGAUUACCCUCCUGGAGGAGGCACCUCUGACCCUGAACUGCACUUAUCAGAGCAGGUAUUCCACUGUCCUCUUCUGGUAUGUCCAGCAUCAAAACAAAGCACCUCAGCUCCUCCUGAAAAGCUCAUCAGAAAACCAGGAAGUGGACAGCAGAGGAUUCCAGGCCACUCAUGUUAAGAGUGACAGCUCCUUCCACCUGCAGAAACCCUCAGUACAAACAUCAGACUCGGCUGUGUACUACUGUGUUCUGAGUGACACAGUGAGAGGGACUGCAGGAGGAGCUGAGCACAAACCCUAAGCACAGCUGGGGCCUCAGGUGGGCAGCCCUGGGAGAAGUGUGCUAUUUCCUCUCCAGACAGUGCUCUACACUGGAGACAUCCUCAAAGUAACUUCUGGCUCUAAGCCCAGGAACUUUGAAGUUCUUGAGCCUCAGAACCAAGAAACCUUGAGGUUCUUGGAUUACUCUACAAAGAGGAACUGGGGGAGGGAUAUUGUAAAGAGAAACAUGAAUUCUGUUCUCCAGAAGUGCCUCUUUUCUCAGCCAAAUUGUUCCUCUUCCCCCCAUAUGGUGUACAUUCCUGGGAAGUCACAGUAACUGUAUUCAGGGGUCAAUGCUGAAAUACUUCACAGCUUAUUAAUAAAAAUCCUC